UGCGUUUUUAAUAGGCCUAUCCAUCAUUUCACAUUGUAACGUCUGGUAUAAGUAUCUUGAACGGUAGGGGUACUAGAUGUCCCUUUGAAAUUGAGAAGCGCUCGUGCGGUAUGUACAAAUAAACAACAAAAACAAACGUUUUGGGGGGAUGGUAAAAUACAUAGAAUUUUGAGAAAUCUAGCCAACUAGUUUAAUUACUUUUGUUGUAUUUUGAUAGAACGUACCAGUUUAUCUGUAGACUGUUUGAAGUGUAGUCAGACUCCUGACCCCGGCAGCAGGCGUGCAGACCUCAAGAUCUCUGCCAUUCAAACGUGACUGAAACCUAGUCGCCUUUCUGCCGCCUUCAGGCCGGGUGGUGAGGUAGUACAUCUGUGUUUUAUCCCGCGAACUUUCAGGUGCUGACUGCCACUUUGCGAUCAUCGCCCACCCGGCUGCUCUGCCAGACUGUGUUGUUGCAUCAGUAUCCAACACAGAGACACAUCCUCCUAUCUGCUGCAUAACAGGCGGCCCUGGUCCCCC
rnacentral:lncRNA from 8 species